UGGUUAAUUCGAUGCGCUUUUCAACAACCUUUUGAUAUUCAGUCGAGUUUCUCGGAGGAAGUGGAUUUCUGUGAUUUCUUUUCGAUGGGCCUUACGUUUACCUUCUCUUAACUGUAUAUUGAAUGUCUCGAGAAAAUAUAGAGGCUUCAGUAGCUGUGAAAAUCCGGGCACAAGCUGUCGAAGUACUAUGCUAACCCAAUAAACUUUUACGAAUCUUGGGGCUGGCAAAGAAUUAAAUGAUACCAUUUACAGGCAUUUGGACUUAAUACUAAAUAUUCUACAGAAGUUCUUAAGUCCUUAAACAUUUUUCAGCAAUGAAUGAAAACCCAGCCUUUCGUAGAGUAUCUAACACAAUCUAUAACCUCUCAAGUGCGGAUUCCUAUUAACAGUAAAGGAAACUUGUCGGCAACUGUAUUUGAAAUUAAACGCGCACCCGCAGAAAGCAGAUGGAACUAGUCAGUGAGUGUCGAAGUGGACAUACAAGGACGAUCACUGCAAGCUGCCCCUAUGACAGAGGCCGACCCGGGCCAGAGUAAAACUCAGGUUACAGCAGAGUCCGCAUCGGGCUCCCCUCUGUGGGCUUGACGUCCGGUGAGGGUGUCGUGUCGCUGCGGUAUGAUGAGUGGCUGCCGUCAGUGGUUUCGAGUCGCCUUGUUCGGCUGGGAAGUAAAAGAAGAACAGGUGCUCUCGGCCUGUCGCUGUACGAGCCAUAGAAAUUUACAAGAUAAAUAAAAAUGUGAACAAAUAUCAACACAUUUUUCAAAAAUUUGGGCGUGGCAGGCGUGUGCGGUUUGCGUUGGAAUGGCCGUGGGAACAUGGGUCAAAAAGCUUGCGUUGCGUCUAUGUCUCUGGAAUCUGUAUGCUUAAUCUCAACCUUUUAGCUUUUAUUGCUCCUGAUAUCUCGACAUUCAUUCGACGGAUAGACAGACGGACGGACAGGGCCAGAUCGACUUGGCUAUGGAUCCUGAUCAAGAAUAGGCAGAAUUCUUCUGCCUGUUUUUUUUUUUUUUUUUGUGUAUAUUUUUGUAUUUGUUUUAUAUAUAUUAUUUAUUUAAGAAUUAACAAACACUAUAGUGUCAGAGGCCAAAAAUAAAAAAAAACCAUCCAAAUAUAUUUACGCAUAAAGUAACCAAAUUGUCUCCAAAUAGUCCAAAUAUAUCUAGCCAAAACGAGUUUUUGCUUCAAAAC